rnacentral:rRNA from 1 species
UACGUAGGGGGCAAGCGUUGUCCGGAAUCAUUGGGCGUAAAGAGCGCGUAGGCGGCCCGAUAAGUCCGCUGUGAAAGUCAAGGGCUCAACCCUUGAAUGCCGGUGGAUACUGUCGGGCUAGAGUCCGGAAGAGGCGAGUGGAAUUCCUGGUGUAGCGGUGAAAUGCGCAGAUAUCGGGAAGAACACCUAUGGCGAAGGCAGCUCUCUGGGACGGUACUGACGCUGAGACGCGAAAGCGUGGGGAGCGAACGGG